rnacentral:rRNA from 1 species
UACGUAGGGUGCAAGCGUUAAUCGGAAUUACUGGGCGUAAAGCGUGCGCAGGCGGCUAUGCAAGACAGAGGUGAAAUCCCCGGGCUUAACCUGGGAACUGCAUUUGUGACUGCAUGGCUAGAGUGCGGCAGAGGGGGAUGGAAUUCCGCGUGUAGCAGUGAAAUGCGUAGAUAUGCGGAGGAACACCGAUGGCGAAGGCAAUCCCCUGGGCCUGCACUGACGCUCAUGCACGAAAGCGUGGGGAGCAAACAGG